CCCCCGCAGCUGUACAUGGAGCAGUCUUCCCGCCUUUCUGGAAUCUCUAAUUAUUUAUUAAUCUGAAAACACACACUCACGCAGUAGAAGGAAAUCGGACGAAAUGGUUCGAGGCGGAGGAGGAGCGAAGAAGGAGAAGGAAGAGAAUGCGGAGGCGGAAGAAAGGAAGAGACUGAAGAAAUUGGCGUUUAAAAAUAAUAUACUUUCCGAAACGCAGGCGACGGCGAGUGGCUCCAACGCUCUGAACCCUUCGGCGACUGUGGUCAAGCACCAUGGCAAAGAUAUCAUGAGGAAAUCGCAGCGGAGUGGCAAGAAUCGUUAUUUAUUCUCAUUUCCUGGGCUUUUAGGUCCAGUUUCUGGUGGAAAGGUUGGGGAACUCAAAGACCUCGGCACUAAGAAUCCUGUUCUUUACCUCGAUUUUCCCCAGGGUCAAAUGAAGUUAUUUGGUACAAUUGUGUAUCCAAAGAACAGGUACCUGACUCUUCAAUUCUCGAAAACUGGAAAGAAUGUGACAUGUGAAGACUACUUUGAUAACAUGAUUGUGUUCUCUGAUGCUUGGUGGAUUGGGAAAAAGGAUGAAAAUCCUGAAGAAGUACGUCUAGAAUUUCCAAAGGAGAUGGAUGUGGAACAGGUGCAAAACUAUGAUUUUAAAGGUGGUGCAGGUGGGCCAAGUGAUAGCAAGCGAGAUAGCAUUAAAACAGCUAAGAAAGUUGUCGAGCAGCCAUCUCCUAAAUUUGAGCUGGAAGAAGAUUCCUCUGACAGUCAACAUAAACCUAAAGAAGUUCUUGAACUCACUCCAUCUCGGAAGUCAGCUAGGACAGAUUCCUCUGACAGUCAAAAUAAACCAAAAGAAGUUCUUGAACUCACUCCAUCUCGGAAGUCAGCUAGGACAGCGGGAAAGACAUUCAAGUUUGCUGAGUCUUCUUCUGGAGAUGACAUUGCUGAUGGUUUGGGGGAGACCUCAGGAGAUGAUUUUGUUAAUAACGGGCUAGAAAGCUCAGAAGGAGAUGGGGACAACGUUGCUAAAGAUAUCCUUCUAAAUUCAUUGACCUUACUGGAAAGUCUUGCCAUGUGGUACUUGACCUUGAUAAGGAAGAUGCUGAAACAGACGCUCCAGUCCCAAAGAAAAGAAAACAAAGUGCAAAAUCAGCUUCAAAAACUAAAGAGCUUGCUCAUAGUAAUCAGGGUUCUCUGGUUCAAAAGACCAUAUCAUCCUUAUUCAAGAAAGCAGGGGAAAAGGUUGUGCAUACAGAUGCGAAUGAGAAGAUAGAUAAUGUCAAGAUUUCCAGGCCCUCGAAAAAGGGGAAACCAGUAGGCAAAAGAAAAGAUGGAACAGAAAGUUCAGCAAGGAAGAAAAAAAUGAAGGUUCAGGUUGAAGAUGAUGAUAUUGAGGAGUUCACUAGCACAUCGCAGGAUAUGAUUUCAAGUGAUGAAGACUGGACUACUUAACAACAGUGAUGUGAUGACAACCGCAGUAGUUGUCAAAACAAAUUUCUACUCGGAUAUAAGUCGAUCUGUGAAUUCCCCCAGUUGAAUGUCCAAGAAAUGAGAUUGCUUACUUCUCUUGGUGAUGGAUUAAUUGGUAAUGCUUGAUGUCAAUUCUUUUUCUUUCAUUGUAAGGAAUGUAAUGCAGAAUUGAGAAAAAUGAUGGGAGGUUGGCGCAGAAUUUGUGACUCCUUCCCCUUUUUAUUUGCCAUGUAUGACAGUUCAUAGAAACUUCAAAAGCUAUUGGUUGUAUACUUGAGUAGUAGUUCAAUUUGGAUACUUGAAAUGAUACUGCGAGGAAAUUCUUGCGACUCCUAUUAAAAGAAAGAUGCUAGAUCGGCACUUUUAUUUAACCCAACUUUUGUUGAGUUGAUCUGUUUCUCAUCUCUGCUCGACCCGCAAGUUCUCAUCUCAAUUCAGGGAACAGUGUGCACGAAAGAAUAUAUGCAGAAAGGUUCACAAAAAGGGAAACAUCUCAUCUCUGAUAUUCCCAUUAAAUACUGCUUUAUUACAUCGUCUUGCUAUAACCACGGAAACGAAGAGGAAAAAAUGAAAAAAAAAAAAAA